CAAAAAUAAUCAUUUUUAAUAACUAAUAAAAAUUCUAUAUUUUAAGACAUUUCUUAUAUGUUAUCAAUAAAGAUGUGUUCAUAAAUGGGAGCACUUUGGAAAUAAGAAAAUUGCUAGACAAAUACAAAAUAGUAUUGCCCACAAUAAGAAGUUAUGAUAAGAAAAAAAGGCCUAUAUGAAAAUAAAAAAUAAAAAUACACUGAGAAACAUAUUUUUAAACAUGAAAGGACAAAUAGGAAGAAUUUCAAAUUCAGAUAGAUUUUUAAAACCUUUUAUUUAUAUUUUGGUCUUACAAAUGAUUUAUUUUUAAAUUGACUUUUCUGUAAGAAUGUAAAGCACAAAAAUUUGCCGGAUAUCAGAUCCACACAAAUCCUCAGAAAGGUUUUCUGUGUAGUCUUCAUUAACGCGAAUCUUUGUGAAUGUUUCACUCUUACUGUAGAUCUUGAAUCUGUUUCAUAAUAAUGAAGCCAUAAAGUUUUUAUGCAGUGCAUUCAUUAUAAACUACAACGUUUCUAUUUAAAGGAAAGCUGGGUAAUACAAAAAUAUGAGCGGAUUGGAGGAGCAGGCAAUCUGUGGAGGCUAGAAUAUCUUACUUGCUUUGUAGUUUUCUGUCAUUACUUUCAAGGAGCACACAGCACAGGAAGCAUAGCAAUCAUCUCCCUUAAUAACCUCCCUAAUUUAAAAAUCUGUUGUUUGUAAAACUGGACCAAUUAUCACAAACUUUCAUUUGCAUAAUUAACCACAAGUCUAAUACAAACAUUUUGUUAGUGGUAUCAACAAAUGUAGGAGAAUGGAAAUUUAUAAAAAACAGGUUUGUUAAGCUUGCCAACUCCUUAGAUAUCAUGGGCUGUGCUGCCACUUCAACUUUUAAUCAGAUGUUCAAUGCCCCACAGGCAAAGACUGAGCAAUGGAAGGAAGCAAAACUAAAUUAUUUUCUAGGAGCUGUAAUAUUUCAUUAGAUACAAAGGUAACAAAAGGAUAGGACAAAAUUUAAGCAACUUUUAUAUGCGUUCCAACUUCUCACUCAGGAACUCUUCUACACUGUCUGUGUUCCAUUUGAGGAUGCUUAGUUCUUCAGCAAUGUUCCCAUUGUCGUCCAAAAGCUUUAGUACAGGGUCUGAACCACGAACAUACUACAAAAAAAGGGACAUCAUCAUUACUAUCUGCUUAGAAGAGCUUUGUCAGCCUCAACUGAGGUCCCAACCAAUUCAAUCCAGCUUAUCUACAUCUAAUGACCGUAUAAGGCCAAUGUUGAAAUAGGCUGUGCAUACACAUUAUCUGACAGAAUUCCACAGUGGACUUUAAAUUUGCUUUGGUUUAAGAAAUCUAAUGAUUUUGUUGUAAUAAGUUUAUAACGAGGCUAGACUCCUGAAACUUUACACCUACUAGUUGGGUCCAAUACUUCUCUAGAGAGCUCUGAGAAAUUCUUACUCUGGGUAAUUGUGACAAUAAACACAAUCCCAUUUGUUAAGAGAUCAGUCUUCACUGCUAGAUUAAGUAGAAUUACAUAACUAAAAAUGGAGCAGUGAUGAUGAAGGGAGCUCUGAGGACUUCUUUCAGGAAUUUAUGCUUCAGUUUUCUAGGUCGUCUAGGGUUAUGAACUCUAGAAAUGGAGACGAGGUCUGAUGUGACUAUUAGCAUUUGGUAUAUUCUCAACCCACCUGUGGAGUUUAGAAAUAUAGGCCCGCCAAGCUAAUGAAUCAAUAUCAUUACUACUUAAACAUUUUCAGUCAGGUUAUCUACAUAAAUUAUUUUUAAAUAUUUGAGUAUUUAUUCAAAAACUCAUUUUAGUCCAACAAAGAAAUAAGAAAUUACAUAGAAACUAGCUGCAAAAAUUCUCAACAAAAUAUCAGCAAAUCAAAUCCAACAAUGUAUAAAGGAAUUAUAUACCACGACCAAUUCAGAUUCAUUUCAGGUAUGCAAGGCUGGUGCAACAUUUGAAAAUGAAUUAACGUAAUCCAUCACUACAUGGCUAAAGAAUCUUAUGAUCAUAUCAGUAGAAACAGCUCCUGUCACAUGCUUCAACAUGGAUGAAUCUCAAGGAUAUUAUGCUACGUGAAAUAAGCCAGUCAUGAAAGGACAAUUACUGUAUGAUUCCACUCAUACGACGUAUUUAAAGUAGUCAAAAUCACAGAAACAGAAAGUAGAAAGGUGGGUGCCAUCGUCUGGGAGGAGGGGUGAGCAGGAAUUAGUGUUUAAUGGGCACCGUUUCAGUUUUGCAAACUGAAAAAAUUCUAGAGAUCUACUGCACAACAAUGUGAAUAUACUUAACACUGCUGAACUGCAUGCUUAAAAAUAGUUAAGAUGGUAAAUUUAAUGUUAUGUAUUUUUUCUUACCCCAAUUAAAAUUAAAAAAGUGGGCAAAAUAUCUGAACAGACACACCACAGAAGAUAUACAGAUGGCAAAUAAGCUUAUGAAAAGAUGCUCAGUUAAGGAACUGCUCAUUAAAACAACAAUGAGAUAACACUACACACUUUGUAGAAUGGCUAAAAUCCAAAACACUGACAAUACCUACUGCUAAUGAGGAUGUGGAGCAACAGGAACUCUCACUCAUCUCUAGUGGGCCUGGAACAUGACACAGCCACUUUGGAAGACAGUUUGGUAGUUUCUUACAAAGCUAAACGUCUCACUACACGAUCCAACAAUUGUGCUCCUAGGUAAUUACCCAAAUAAGUUGAAAACUUAUGUCUACACAAAAAUUACACAAAAAUGUGUAUAGUAGCUUUAUUCCUAAUUGCCAAAAACUGGAAGUGACAAAGAUGCCCUUCCAUAGGCGAACAGAAAAAACAAACCAUAGCACAACAGAAUAUUAUUCAUAUUAUUCAGCAUUAAAAAGAAAUGAGCUAUCCAGCUACAGAAAAGAUAUGGAGAAACUUUAAAUGCAUAUUGCUAUGUGAAAGAAGCCAAUCUGAAAAGGCUACAUACUGUAUGAUUCCAACUACAUGACAUUCCGGAAAAGGCAAAAGUAUAGAGACAGUGAAAAGAUCAGGGGUUGCAGGGGUCGAGGGUUGGGGGGAGGUGAGGAGAGGAAUGCACAGGCAGGACACAGGGGAUUUCUAGGACAGUGAAACUAUUCUGUACGAUAGCGUGAUGGUGGAUACAUGACAUUAUACAUUUGGCAAAACUCCUAGAACUACACAAUACAAAGAAUAAGCCCUAUGCAAACUAUGGAAUUUAGUUAAUAAUAAUGUAUCAAUACUACUGGUUCAUCAAUUUGAACAAAUGUAUCCCAUCGAUGCAAGAUGUUAAUAAUAAGGGAAACUGGGGGGGAGUUGGGGAUAAGUAUAUGGGAAUAUUGUACCUUCACAUCAAUUUUUCUGUAAACCUAAAAUUGCUCUAAGAAAUAAAGUCUCUUAAUUUAAGAAAAAACCAAUUACUUACUCAAAUAUUUAUUUUGAUUCAAAAAACAAUAAAUUAAUGCUGGAAAAAGAGAUUCCAUUAAAAUCACUUUACCUUGAUUUGUAGUCCUCUGAAUAGUUUGGGUUUAUCACUCCUGACGAAAGCUAGAGAAGAAAACAAUUCAGAUUAUUCACUUUCAAAUCCAAGCUAACCACAAAGAUCAAUAGCAAAAGUAUAAAUAACUCAAUAAAUAAAACAUCAGGUCUUAUGGAAAAACUACGAAAAUUCAAACAGAUAUAAAUAAAUGGAAAGACGGAUCAUACUCUUCAAUGGGAAGACUAAAUAUUUUAAGAUGUUAAUUGUUUCAAACUAAUCAAAAUCUCAAAUUCCAAUGGGAUUUUGAGGGCCUAACAAAAUGAGAGUAAAGCUCAGCUAUAAGAGCAAACGUGUGAGAACAGGCAGGGCAGCUAGAAAAAGUAAGAUAUGAGAGGAGGAUUUGUUCAACUGUUUAUUAAUAUACUAUGUGAAACUGAUACCAGAAUAGAUUAAACAAAGAAACAGAUCAGGAAAUUUAGAGAGAUGAAAAUAUCUGUACCAAUUUUUUUUUCCUUCUUCUUCUCCCCAAAGACCCCCAGCGCAUGUUGCACAUUCCAGUUGUGACUGCCUCUGGUUGUGCUGCGUGGGACACGCAACCUCAGCAUGGCCUGAUGAGUGGUGCCAUGUCCGUGCCCAGGAUCCAAACCGGCGAAGCCCCAGGCCGCCGAAGCGGAGUGCACAAACUUAACCACUCGGCCACAGGGCCAGCCCUGUAUCAAUUUUUUAACACGGUAAAAGCUUUCAAAUCAGAGAGAGGGAGGUGGGAAGGGUGAGACUGAUUGUGUGUGUGUGCACAUCGAGGGUAUGUGUGUGAAUUAUUCAAUACACACGUUCGAGAAAACUGUCAAACUAUUUGGGAAAAUAUAGGACAACAGAUGGAUUAACAUUUUCAAUUCAUGCAACAAAUAUUUAUUGAAUACCUAACUGUAUGCCAGAGGGCAGAGGUAAGGCUAUAUAAAACAGACAUGAUUCCUCUCUUAUGGAGUUUACAGUCUGGUAGGGAAGAAAGAUGCUAAACUAGUAAUCACACAUCUAAUAAUUUCAGUCAUGAUAAGUGUUUAAAAAAAAAAAAGAGAGAGAGGUUCAACAUACUAACAUAGCAUUUAACAGGGACAACCUGAAUAUGGAAUAUAAAAUCUGUAAAGGAAAUGCUUUCCAGAUAAGCCCAUAUAAAAACGGAAACUUCAGGAAAGCAAAACACCACUACAAAUAAAAUUUAAAAGUAAAAAUGACAUACUGGAGAAAAUCAUCUCUAACAUAUAACGUAUAAAAGAGUUCUUACAAAUUAUUAAGAGAAAAUAAGUAGAGAAAUAGACUAGGACAGGAAAAUGUAAUGGGCAAAUACACAAACGGUCAGUAAACAUUUGAAAUAAAUGUUCACCCUCAAUCAAAGAAAUGUCAAAUAAAACAAUGAGGUACCCUCAGUCAGAGUGACAAAAAUUAAAAAGAGUAUUUAAGGUUAGAGAGAGGGUGGAGAGAAGGAUUUUGCUGGGGGUUAGUUGUGGAGGGAAUAUAAAUGGACACAGCCUUCCUGAAGGUAUUUAGUAAAAUGAACCGAAAGUCUUAAAAUGUACAUACUCUUUAAACUUGCAGGUCCCCUUCUAGGAAUUUCUUCUUCUUUUUUUUUUGCUGAGGAAGAUUUGCCCUGAGCUAACACCUGUGCCAAUUUUCCUCUAUUUUGUAGAUGGGCACUGCCACAGCAUGGCAGCUGAUGAGUGGUGUAGGUCCGUGCCUGGGAACCAAACAUGGGCCACUGAAGUGGAGUGCGCUGAACUUAAUCACUAAACCGUGGGGCUGGUCUUGGAAUUUCUUUAUUCUGAGGAAAUAAUUACACAAUAAGGCAAGACAGCCAGCCCUGGUGGUCUAGUGGUUAAGAUUUGGCACUUUUGCUGCUGUGGCCUGGGUUCAUCUACUGGUCAGGGACCCAUACCACCUGCCUGUCGGAGUGGAGCACUGAGCAGAGCAUUGUCUGAUAGAGCACCAGAAGGUGAGAGGAUGGCGCAAAAAGACUGGGCAGGGUUCCGCUCUGCUGUCCGUAGGGGCGCUAGGGGUGGGAAUCUACUUGAUGGCACUAGCAGUUACAACAAAAUGCAAGGUCCUGCUAACCAAGCCUGGAAAUUUGGAAAUAAUCUAAAUGUGUGAAAGGUUACUAGUUAAAUUAACGUGGACCAUCGAAUGCAUCCAGUCAUUAAAAACUACAUCAAUCUAUAUUUAGUGAUAUAGAAGCCAACUCACAUUACAUAUAAAAAGCAGGUUAUAGAUCAGUUUGUUUCCUACAGUUGUUACAAAAAGACGGAAAAAUGUUAUAUUUAUAUAUUUAUCCAUAAAUAUACAUCUGCAAAGGAAAAAGCCCAGAAGCAUUAAAAAAUCUUCAUUAAGUCAGAAAAUAUAAAAUACUUAGCACAAUACACAUAACAACUGAAAGAAAUGUUAACUUAUUUUAAUAGAGUGUUAUAUCUGGAGCACAUGGUUGAGGAAGUUUUAAAUGAAUGCUUUCCCUUUUUUGGGCUGCUGUUGAUUUGAAUUUUAGCAACUUUUUAGUAAUGAUCACGUCUAAUUGUCCAAGUUAAAAAAUUUAGAAUACAUCUUUCUAAAAUAAAUACAACUGAGACAUUUCAUUUAGAUCCUUGGUAGUUCUUAAUAUCAGUUCUAUGUUAUCAUUCUCUACUUAGAUUUUACAGUGACACACACCCUUUUGAGAACUUACUUUUUAAACUUAGAAUUAACUAGAAAUAGCACUAUAGACAUGUUUCAUUAUGAAGGUCUAUACUUGCAUUUAGGACAGCAAAACAAAGAUUAGUAAAUGGCUUUUUUUUAAGGUUUUGAGGACUUGGUGGAAGAGUCUCAGAUAUCCUACCUAAACUUCCAAUUCAGUUCAAAAUAAAACUGACUAUGUUAUUCUGGUUUAUGAGGAUAUCUUCUCUAUUAACUUUAUCCUUUAGGAUUUGUCCAAAUACUCUGCAGACCCCCAAGUCCCCAAACAAAAAUGAUCUUAUGAUAUCCUGAUGCAUUUUAUACCACCCCUUUGCCAAACGUGCUAUGUCAGCUGUGCUCACACACCCUUUACCACAGUGUGUUCCCUACUACAUAAGAAAUCUCUCUGGGGAAAAGAACUAUUCUUAUAUACUUUUUGUAUUCAUAACAGAGCCUAGAACAUUUAAUAACUUUUACUCACUCAACAGAUUUUUAACAGGCUGGAAUGAGUGAACAAAUUUAAAAAGAAUAUUAAGAUAAGUCACUAAUGACUAUUUUCA
rnacentral:lncRNA from 1 species